rnacentral:rRNA from 1 species
GACGAACGCUGGCGGCGUGCUUAACACAUGCAAGUCGAACGGAAAGGCCCCUUUGGGGGUACUCGAGUGGCGAACGGGUGAGUAACACGUGAGUAACCUGCCCUUGACUUCGGGAUAACUUCAGGAAACUGGGGCUAAUACCGGAUAGGAAUCCUAGCUGCAUGGUGGGGGUUGGAAAGCUUCGGCGGUUUUGGAUGGACUCGCGGCUUAUCAGCUUGUUGGUGGGGUAGUGGCUUACCAAGGCUUUGACGGGUAGCCGGCCUGAGAGGGCGACCGGCCACAUUGGGACUGAGAUACGGCCCAGACUCCUACGGGAGGCAGCAGUGGGGAAUAUUGCACAAUGGGCGGAAGCCUGAUGCAGCAACGCCGCGUGCGGGAUGACGGCCUUCGGGUUGUAAACCGCUUUCAGCAGGGGCGAAGCUUGUGGUGACGGUACCUGCAGAAGAAGCACCGGCUAACUACGUG